AUCGGAAACCCGAGUGCCGGGGGCUGGGUGGGCGCGGGGCGUGCAGGCUGCUCGCCGGCGCCGCCAUGGACCCCUUCCGGGUGCUGCUGCACUCGGUGUCGGCCGACCUGUCCAGCGGCGAGCUGACCGAGCUCAAGUUCCUGUGCCAGGGGCUAGUGGGCAAGAGGAAGCUGGAGCGCGUGCAGCGCGGCCACGAGCUCUUCGAGGUGCUGCUGGAGCAGAAGGACCUGGAGGCCGAGCACACCGGGCUGCUGCGCGACCUGCUGGCCUCGCUGCGGCGCCACGACCUGCUGCAGCGCCUGGACGACUUCGAGGCGGGGGCGGCGGCGGGGGCCGCGCAGGAGGAGGCAGAUCUGCACGCUGCCUUCAGCAUCAUAUGUGAUAAUGUGGGGAAAGACUGGAGGAGACUGGCUCGUCACCUUGGAGUUUCUGACGCCAAGAUCGAUGGAAUUGAGGAGCGAUACCCCCGCAACCUGGCAGAGCGGGUGCGGGAGUCGCUGAGAGUGUGGAAGAGCAGCGAGCGGGAGAAGGCCACAGUGGCCGGCUUGGUCGAGGCGCUCAGGGCCUGUCGGAUGAACCUGGUGGCCGACCUCGUGGAGGAGGAGCAGCUGGCCCGGCGGCUGCAAAACGGGAGUGACGCUGUGUCCCCAGUGCAGUGGGACUCAGACGCUCACACCUCAGAAGCUCCUUGAUGGGGCUGCCGUUCUCCUUGGGGACCAUGGGAGGGACUUGAUUCUCUGUACCAUGCCCAGCACUGGGCAGUCCCAUCAGGAGCCAGGCAGAGGGCUCCCCCUCAGAGCCAUGCUGCAGCUUCACAGUUAAAGCUGCGUUUCCUGAGCCCCUCCUCUGCCAGGCAGAGCCUGGAGUGCGGGUGAGGGAGGGGGCUUCUGUAUCUUCACUCAGUGAACGCCAACCAGAGACUCGCAGCUUUGGGCACAAAGGCACUCGUUCAGAUUGAGUCCUACCUGUUCUUCAGGUGAGGAAACGGGUUAGAGGGAGGUCAGAACCGGGACAGCGCAUCUGGCUCCGGAGAAGGGCCUUCUAACCAGCGUGUCCCACUGUGACUCCACCGUGGACAAAAGGCACAUUUUGUCCCAUUCUUUGAGGCGACAGGGUAGACCUGGACACCAGCACGAGGUGCUGUCCUGGUCCAGGAGUCAGGACACCUGGCUGACUCACAGAGCGGCAACAGCAGGGCCGUGAGGGUGACCACAGUGACGCCUGUGGAGUGCUCCCAGGAACGUGCACAGCCGAGCUCCGCCAAGUCAGUUCUCGUGAGGAGCCGGUUCCCGGGUCGCAGGUGGCUGUUCUGUGUCAGAAUUACCAUCCAGGCGGUCAUGGCCUAGCAAGGGGCAAGACCCUGGACCUCCAGAGCCCUCCACUGAAGCCAGUGCCUUUACCUGGAGCCCUCCAGGUGCCUCUGGAAACCAGUUAGGUCAAGAGCCUGUUUCCUGAAGAGGUCACGUCACAAAGAACUCCCACUCCCGACGAUGACUUUCUCACGUCACGUAUUCUGAGGGGGUCRGUCCAGCUCGUGUCAGCAGCUCGUCCUGGGCUCUCCCUGUGGAAAUGGCGGCAGGAUUAUCUCAUAGCUCACUCACCACUAGCCAGAGUAUUGACCUAAGCCAAAGGUGAUCUGCAGAAGGCAGGUCUGCCACCUGUGGGACCUGCCUGUGCCUGCCAGGCAUGGUUAUGGUUCUGGAAUGUUCCCCAGGAGCUCCCACGUUGAAGACUGUUAGCAGUGCCCAGGAGUGGUGCUUUUACCAGGAAUGGGUCGGCCAGGCGUGUGGCGCAGGCCUGUCAUCCCAGGGACUUGGGCGGCGGAGGCAGGGUUGGAAGCUUGAGACCAGCCUCAGCAACUGAGCAAGGCUCGAAGUGACCGAGGAAGACCCUGUCUUGAACUCAAAGGGUAGGGAUGCGACCUGGUGGUUAAGAACCCCGAGUUUGAGACCCAGCACCAAAAAAGAAAAGUGGCACGGAUCACGUGGCUUUAACCUCACCAGUGGAUUCACCCGUUUAGCGUGUCUAAUGGUUGAGGUGUGAAGUGCCCCCAAGCUCCUACGUGAGACAGUGCAGGGAAGUUCAGAGGUGAAAUGCACCUAGUCAGUGUGUUGAUCCCCUGAUAAGGGUUGACUGGGUGGUGACUGUGAGCGGGUCGGGUGUGACAGGACAGGUGGGUCCCUCGAGGUGGGCUUCUGGUUGGUCCUUGGUGAAAGAACUUUCUCUCUGCUUCCUGACUGUCCUCUCCUGAGCCGCCUUCCUCCACCACACUCUUCCACCACGAUGUCCUGCCUCACCUCCGCCCAAAGCAGUGGAGUCCGCUGUCUAUGGACUGACACCUCCUAAACCGCUCACAGCCAGGAGUUUGCCUUAAAUCUCCGAGAUGCUGAAACUAUUAAGAGUGGGGAUUCACCAGAUGUCGGGGUGCACACCUACAAUCCCAGCAGCUUGGGA